GGGUGAUGGCGUGCCUUUUGUAGAAUGAACCGGCGAGUUACGUUCCCGUGCAAGGUUAAGGUGAAGAGCUGAAGCCGCAGCGAAAGCGAGUCUGAAUAGGGCGAAUGAGUACGUGGACGUAGACCCGAAACCGGGUGAUCUACCCCUGUCCAGGGUGAAGGUGCGGUAACACGCACUGGAGGCCCGAACCCACGCAUGUUGAAAAAUGCGGGGAUGAGGUGGGGGUAGCGGAGAAAUUCCAAUCGAACCCGGAGAUAGCUGGUUCUCCCCGAAAUAGCUUUAGGGCUAGCCUCGGAAA
rnacentral:rRNA from 1 species